ACGGGAGGCAGCAGUGGGGAAUAUUGGGCAAUGGGCGCAAGCCUGACCCAGCAACGCCGCGUGAAGGAUGAAGGUCUUCGGAUUGUAAACUUCUUUGAUUGGGGACGAAUAAAUGACCUACCCAAAGAACAAGCCACGGCUAACUACGUGCCAGCAGCCGCGGUAAUACGAAGGUGGCAAGCGUUAUCCGGAUUUACUGGGUGUAAAGGGCGUGUAGGCGGCUUUGCAAGUCAGAUGUGAAAUUCCCGAGCUCAACUCGGGCGCUGCAUCUGAAACUGUAAAGCUUGAGUACUGGAGGGGAAAGCGGAAUUCCUAGUGUAGCGGUAAAAUGCAUAGAUAUUAGGAGGAACACCGGUGGCGAAGGCGACUUUCUGGACAGUAACUGACGCUGAGGCGCGAAAGCGUGGGGAGCAAACAGGAUUAGAUACCCUGGUA
rnacentral:rRNA from 1 species